rnacentral:rRNA from 1 species
AUGGGAGGUUUGAAUGAAAGAAAUGCUAGAGUCUUCAGGAAGAUUUCUACCUUGCCAAUGACUAUCUUUGUUGGAAUCAAAUCUGAGGCCAAACUGUGGCGUAUUGCAAAGGCUAAACACCUAAGGUACAUGAUGUCGGGAGAGUUAUUUGUUGUAGUGUGGCUUGAUAACCCACAAGUAUAG